GUAUCGACAUGGGAAAAAGAAAGCGUCGGUUUAUUCAACUACUUUGGUUGGAGAGCAAUAUCAGUGUCAAAGUUAAAGAACAAGAUCGUUCAUUUUUCCGGUGAUCAAGGUGGUCAAGCGGCGGAUAAGCCUUUUAAGAAAU
rnacentral:sRNA from 1 species